rnacentral:rRNA from 1 species
GAUGAACGCUGGCGGCGUGCCUAAUACAUGCAAGUCGAGCGAACGGACGAGAAGCUUGCUUCUCUGAUGUUAGCGGCGGACGGGUGAGUAACACGUGGAUAACCUACCUAUAAGACUGGGAUAACUUCGGGAAACCGGAGCUAAUACCGGAUAAUAUUUUGAACCGCAUGGUUCAAAAGUAAAAGACGGUCUUGCUGUCACUUAUAGAUGGAUCCGCGCUGCAUUAGCUAGUUGGUAAGGUAACGGCUUACCAAGGCAACGAUGCAUAGCCGACCUGAGAGGGUGAUCGGCCACACUGGAACAGAGACACGGUCCAGACUACUACGGGAGGCAGCAGUAGGGAAUCUUCCGCAAUGGGCGAAAGCCUGACGGAGCAACGCCGCGUGAGUGAUGAAGGUCUUCGGAUCGUAAAACUCUGUUAUUAGGGAAGAACAUAUGUGUAAGUAACUGUGCACAUCUUGACGGUACCUAAUCAGAAAGCCACGGCUAACUACGUG